GUCCCUAGCAACCCAAGGUAGAGAGUAGAAGGAAAGAAGCAGAGUCUACAGUACAUUUUUGGGGAGUCGGGCUGGUCGCCGCCCCACGUCCCCUGGAUCCAAAACAGGAGAUAUCGUGAAUGUGUGUGAAUGUGAGGGUUCUGUCACAGUGGGUAAAGGAGUGAUUCCUAUCCAAAGUGAGCCGCCCUGAAAACUAACAAUUUAUCACAAAGAAAACGGGACGAACAUCCCACACACCAAACUCCUCCGCAGAACUCACUGUCCUGGAAACUAUGAGCCACACGAACUCAAAACAAGAGUCCUGGGCCUGUCAUAGAAUACGGGAGGGCCCAGAAAAACCCACUUGCUCUAGAUUUCCUGAGAAAUCUGACAACAGCAAUGUGAAAGCUAGUAACAGCAAGCUUCCCCAGCCAAGGGGCUGUGUGAGCUUUCAUCACAGCCUGCCUCUGGCACGGUCAGCCACGCCACCCCUAAGCCUAGGUCUGCACUGCACAUCCAAGUGGGCUCCUCUCCGCCUCCUGCCCAGCCCUCCCCGGCUCCCUGCACGCUGGACCCGCCACCCUCAGAGUUCCUGGGUUUGCAAGUCUAGGCUGCACCCGGGACCAACCUCCAUGUUAAGCUCGAAGAACAAGCCACACUGUCCCAACUUUGAGAACGCCGCAGAGUUUGGAGAAUCACAAAUGCAAAAUGAACCCGGAAGCACAGAGAGCAGAGUCCUGUCUAGCGGGGUCAUACAGAGAGAGAGACUACAUUUCCCAGAAGUCUACGCGAAGGACUACCCGGAACUAAGGAAGGCAAAGAAUUUAAAGCGCAUGGAUUGUAUGUAACUGGAAUUACGCUGCUUUUUAAAAUCCCAAAUUUACAAAGGGCAUUUUGGGAAUAUGAGUCCAGCCUUUAACGGUAAUAUGUAUUAGAUUUACUUCUUACUCUGAUCAAUACUGUGAGUUAAAAAGCUCAGGGGUACCUAGAAUCUUAUGGGGGGCAGAAAAAAAUCACAUUGAGUCAAUUUUACUUUAAAAUAACGGAGCAAGAAGCUACUUUAGGGCACACCACAAACUCUUUAGGAUAGUUUUUGAAACCAAGUUUCCUGGAAAUAUUCUGAAAUCUCAGCUACUCUGGGGUUUGAGACAAAAGAAUCACAAGUCCCAAAUUACACAGUACCAAAAGAGAUGGGGGCUACUCACUGGUGAAGCACUUGCCUGGAGUGAAGGAGACCUUGGUUUCACACACAUUAUGACACUAAAUCAAAGAGGAAAAAAAAAUAACGGAACAGAUUUGAUGUGUACACUGAAAUCCACGGUUUGGGGCGUGGACUAGGGAACACAUGUCUCUUACCUAUAAGCCCCAGAAACCCUUUGAGAUUUUCAUCUGUCCUUAGUCCCCUUGUCCACACGUUCCUCCAAUAGCCCGUGUAAACAAUUUAACAUUUGAGAGAGCUGUACCAGAGCUUCACCAGAUUCUCUUUCACAAUCUCAUACAACUAUUCACCACCAGAUAUUCUUCCGGCUCCUGGCUCCUCUCCCAAUUGGAGGAAAACUGGUCUUGGGAUCAAUAUGGCGUGUGAACUGACUCCUGACCCACUAUCCAUCACUCAUCAUAAGAUUUCUCUCUGUAUUACUUCGGAUCUGCCCUAUUCAACUUCCAGUCUCUUUCUGGACUCCUUACAUUACUCCCAUUCAUGUGGAAGUACUUAAAGGUUUUUUGUUUUGUUUUUUUUGCUUGAAGUUCACUUUAUUCCCUCAUCUCAUAACACAGGAAUGAUUCUUCCUUUAAUACAAAGAUAUCAGAAAUAUGUUCCUGAUCAUACAGAAUGAAGUCAUUGCAAGAAAGGGGCUGGACUGACACCACGGAGUGAUGGGACUCCCUACGUCGUGUGUAUUUAUUCCUGUACUGGUAACAUCUGAGACCCGACGAUAAACCCCACGAGAGGAAAGAGUUUGUUUUCAUGCCAUGGUCACUGAUUCACAAUGAGAUUACUUCUUGGAUGAGAGAGUGGGAAGAUCAGAUUGUUCUUUUCUUGUUUCAUCACCAGAAAGAAAUUGUUAUGCUGGGUUUUAUAUCAAUUUGACACAAGCUAAAGUUAUCAGGGGAGGGAGCCUCAGAGAGAAAAGUCAUCUAUAUGGUUGGGCUGUAGGCAAGCCUGUAGGGCAUUUCAUCUUCUCAAUAAGUAAUUGAUGUAGGAGGGCCUAGGAUAUUGUGGGUGGGGCCAACCUUGGGCUGGGGUCCUGGGUUCUCUAAGAAUCAGGGUGAGUAAGCAACACCCCUCCAUGGCCUUGCAUCUGCUCCUGCUUCCAGAUUCCUGCCCUGUUUGAGGUUCUGCCUCGGCUUUCUCCAAUGGACUAAUCCAGGUUAUGUAAACCAAAUAAACCCUCUUGUCCCUGUG
rnacentral:lncRNA from 1 species